GGCGAACCGGGGGAACUGAAACAUCUAAGUACCCCGAGGAAAAGAAAUCAACCGAGAUUCCCCCAGUAGCGGCGAGCGAACGGGGAGCAGCCCAGAGUCUGAAUCAGCUUGUGUGUUAGUGGAACGGUCUGGAAAGUCCGACGGUACAGGGUGAUAGUCCCGUACACCAAAAUGCACAGGUUGUGAACUCGAAGAGUAGGGCGGGACACGUGGUAUCCUGUCUGAAUAUGGGGGGACCAUCCUCCAAGGCUAAAUACUCCUGACUGACCGAUAGUGAACCAGUACCGUGAGGGAAAGGCGAAAAGAACCCCGGCGAGGGGAGUGAAAAAGAACCUGAAACCGUGUAC
rnacentral:rRNA from 1 species